GCAAAGACCAUUUACCUGUUACAUUCCCGUGGCAUUUGACCCAAUGCUUUAACAAACCAAAUGAGGGUCAUGUUCACUGCUCCACAAGAUGUCACCAUACACACUCUUAGGCACUAGAUACACCUACUUCAAGUUGUUCAAGUAUGGACCCGUCCUCUUUGCCUUCCUUCUCUUGCCCUCUCAGAUAGCGCACUCCUGGAGGCUGGCUUCUCAUCUCCUGGUGGGACCCUGCUUCUCUGUCUUCCCCAAGGUGACUAGUCCUCACUCCAUCCUCUGUCAGAGCACUUAUCACACUGGAUGGUAAUUAUUUCAUGUGUCUCUUCUUAGUGCUGAGGUGUAUGUGAUGGCAGAGACUGAGUCUUCCCUCAGUGCUGGAUAUACAGCUGACAGAUACUCACUAAAUACCUUUGAAUAAAUGUUUGAGAGUCACCAAAAGCAUUUCUAUCUGCACAGUGGGCUUUUAUUUGGCACUGGAGCAUUUCAGGACUUAACUGAUAUGCAGGUUCUUGGAGAAUUUAGUAGAAGCUUACAAAUGUGGAGAUAUAUUAAUAAGAUUUGUUGGCAUUCCAGAUUGGCAGUGGACCCUUUUUAGAAGAUUCCAGGCUUGGAGCUCAGUCUGUCAAGUAUAAGAAACAGAGUAAAGCUGGAGAAUACUGGUAGAAAUCAUCGUCUGGACUUGGAGUCGUCUCUCAAGAGGACUUGAUCUCUGGCCUGUGAACUGCCCCACAUGUUUCUUCUGCACAUCCUGACUCCCAGGCCUGCACAGGGGACUUCUGCACAGGCCUGACUCCCAGGCCUGACAUUUUCUGGUCUGUCUUCGCCAUGGUCUGCUAUCAACUGCAGUUUUGAAUUCUGGUUUCUCUUAUUCUUUGUCUCUAGGCAAGUCAACAGGUUCAGCAGCCAGAGUCCUAUCCUGUACUUCUCUUCACGUUGCAGACAUCCACGAAAGAGUGAGACUGUUUUCGGUUGGAUUGAAGAGCAAAUGUGUGGAAGGCACCAAGAGACAGGAUCUCACUAUGUUUCCCAAGUUGGUCUUGAACUUCUGGCCUCAAGCAAUUCUCUUGCCUUGGCCUCCCAAAAUUCUGGAAUUAUAGGCAUGAGUCACCAGAAACGGCCCACUUUAUUUACUUCUGUGAUGCCUAUACAUUGUGUUAUCAAUAAAACUUGAGAUUCUGUAACUGAGACUGGUCUCUGUUUUUAAUUAAUUUCUUUUUUUUGUAAUUCCAAGGCUACCACUGAGGUUCAGAUUCUGCAUUUUGGGGCAUCAGAACUAGUUUUUUUUUUUUUAAUUUGAGGAAAUAUGCUAUAUGCUAGCAUAGGGAUGGCAAUGCAGCCUAUGCAUAUGUGUUCAUUGGAGUGUGCACACUUGUGUA
rnacentral:lncRNA from 10 species